rnacentral:rRNA from 1 species
AACGAACGGUGGCGGCAGGCUUAACACAUGCAAGUCGAGCACCCCGCAAGGGGAGCGGCAGACGGGUGAGUAACGCGUGGGAAUCUACCCAUUUCUACGGAAUAACGCAUGGAAACGUGUGCUAAUACCGUAUACGUCCUUCGGGAGAAAGAUUUAUCGGAGAUGGAUGAGCCCGCGUUGGCUUAGCCAGUUGGUGGGGUAAAGGCCUACCAAGGCGACGAUCCAUAGCUGGUCUGAGAGGAUGAUCAGCCACACUGGGACUGGGACACGGCCCAGACGCCUACGAGAGGCGGCAGGGGGGAAUAUUGGACGAUGGGCGCAAGCCUGAUCCAGCCAUGCCGCGUGAGUGAUGAAGGCCCUAGGGUUGUAAAGCUCUUUCACCGGUGAAGAUAAUGACGGUAGCCGGAGAAGAAGCCCCGGCUAACUUCGUGCCAGCCGCCGCCGUAAUAC